CUGCUGUUGCUUUCUCUCUCUAACGAAGUGAGUGAAUGGUUUUAACAACAAUAUUGGUUUUGUUGUUUUUCAUUAUUCUUUGUAUAUUAGUGCAAUGGUGGUGAUUCAGAGGAAAAAAGCUUGUCUGUUUACAUCAGCCCUGAUGGAGUCAUAGCUUUAUGGAUGUGUUUUCGUACAAAAUGUGGAUGGAAAGGCAGCACGAGGGCCUUUGGAGAAUCACGUUCAAGUUUGAAACAAAUUGCCCAAACGAAGACCAUAAGAGAAGUCACAGUGGAAGGUCUGAAACUAGAGCCACUGUCUGACCAGGUUGCUGGAUUUCACCUUUUUUGUGCUCUUUGUUCUGUUUUUGCAAUCACU